UUGUACCGGGCACCAGACCCAAAAUACGGGCCCGAUACCAUUAUAAUUUAAUCAAAAUUCAUUUCAAAUUCCUUUAAACAAUUUCAGAAAUAAUUUUCUUUAAAAAAUUUAUUUUUUGGGCUUGGGACCUCGGAAUUCGAUUCCGGGCAUACGCCCAUGUCCCAUAUUUUUCUAUGGGUCCGGAUCCGUUUACAAGAAACGUUGACCGAAGUCAAAUUAAUUAAUUUUACAGUCAAAACUUAUUAUUUUUCAUAGAUUUUCACAUAGAGGCUUUCCGUCUACAUGUCCGGACUGCGCACGCAAAUCGAGGUGAUGCUAAAAGAGGUUUUUAAGGCCUCAGAACACAGAAUUCGUUUUAAAAUAAGUCACAGAUAGGCGCCAUCACGACCGGGUCGGUUUUAGGGUCGUGACAUUAUAGCACAUUUUAAAAGAUUGUGUGCUUUUAUUUAUUUGCAUCGAUAAUUAAUUAUAUUCAAAUUUUAAAUUAGCAUAAAAAGUAUUGAAGUUAUGGUCAAUUACAAUUAAUAACUUAAUAAUUAUCAUAAAUUUGAAUAUCUAAUUAUAUCACAUUUUAAAAAACUAUGUGCUUUUAUCUAGUUGCAUUGAUCAUUAUUGUAUUCAAUUUAAAUAAGAAUAUAAAAAUUUAUUGAUGUUAUGGUCAAUUACAAUUAAUAAAUUAAUAAUUAUCAUAAAUCUAAUUAAAUAUUCUAUUAAUAAUUUCAUAAAAUUGAAAUAGGAGCAUAUGACAAAGCUAAUAAUAUCAUAAUUUUGAUAUAAAAUAGUAUUACUAAAUGUGAGUUUUAGUUAUAAUUAGUUAAUUAACUAUGUAAAUAAAGUCAUCGCUAAACUUUCAGACUUAACCUUUUGUUGAUAGUAAUAAUUAUGUUUUGAUAUUUUCUUUUAUAUAUUGGUCUAUAUGAUACUUGAUAACUGAAUAUCAUUUUUCAUAAAACCCACUUAACUCAUCAAGACAUUUGAAUGCGAAACAAAUACAAAGACUCAAUGGGGAUAAAGGUAAAGGUGUUUAGAGCAGAUAUUUUUUUCCUUUUUAAAUCCCACAUUUUGUCAUUGUCUAUAAUCUUCUUCUUCUUCUUCUUCUUUUUUUUUGGUUAUUUCUUUGUUCCUCUUAAUUGUUUUCAAUGUGUACUUCAUUCUUUAUUCUUUUUCUUAGUUACUUGGGAAGAAAAAAGUUUGAAUCUUUAUGCUCAUUGUUAGAUUGGUAUAUCAUAAGAAAUUAAUUUUCAGUCGAUUAUUUUGACUAAAUAUUUGUUUUUCUUACUUGAAUGAACUCUUGCUAUUUUGUCGGCAUGUUGUUGUUCAUGUUAAUAUUAGGUUUCUUGCCUUAUAUUUCUUCGUUAUGGAUCUAUAAUUUUUCAUUCAUACUUAUUCCUGAAUAUAUAUACAAUCAUUUGUUUUUAUUUCCUGAUGUUGAUUUAUUUUAUUAAAAUUGACAGGCAAAUAUGUGGAAUUAUGGAGUAUCAUUUACCAGCUAUGACUGAUGAUGAUCAAACUAAGGUGCAAUCGAAGACAGUGGCAGAAGAGAAGGGAGAAGAUUGUAUGGCUUUGGGUCUCAAGCAAGAUUUCCAGUACUACAAUUAGUGUCAUAGAAGAAUUAUGCAUUGUAAAUUUCUUAAAGUUUACAUAUAUAAUUAUGUGUUACUUGAAACCUGUUUUAGAAUCUAAAAAUUUUGGAUUCUUAGUUACAUUAUAAUAUUUCUUGUGACUAACGACGCUUGUGGUAAAUUCUCAAAUUUGUAGCAAUACAAUUUUUAUUUUGUAUCUAAUUAUAUACGUAUAUAUAAUUGCCACAUAACAAAAAAUAUGGUU
rnacentral:lncRNA from 1 species